AUGCUCCGGCUCCGACGCGGCCUCCUCUCCCAGAUCCUCUCGUCUCCCUCCGCCUCCCCCAUCUCCCACCUGAGUAGCCUCAUCUCCGCCGCCGCGCCCGCCGUCUCCUCGAACCCUAGCUUCGCAGCGGAGGACUACCUCGUCUUCACCUGCGGCCUCAUCCGGGCACAGGCCCUCAAGGCCUCCCGCAAAAUCUCCCACCUCAAAUCCCCAGAUAAUUCCGAUGUCGUCCUCUCAUUCCUCGCCGGCCUGGGUCUCUCCACCAUCGACGCCGCCGCCCUUGUCGCCAAGGACCCGCAGUUCCUCUGCGCUAGCAUUGAGAGGACCCUGGCGCUCGUUGUCGUCGAGCUCACCGCUCUCGUCUGUUGCACUCUGAGAUCGCGCGCCUAG
rnacentral:rRNA from 1 species